rnacentral:rRNA from 1 species
GACGAACGCUGGCGGCGCGCCUAAUACAUGCAAGUCGAGCGAGAAGACGUAGCAAUACGUUUGUAAAGCGGCGAACGGGUGAGGAAUACAUGGGUAACCUACCCUCGAGUGGGGAAUAACUAGCCGAAAGGUUAGCUAAUACCGCGUACGCUUCUUGGACUUCGGUUCAGGGAGGAAAGCGAUGCCGAGGGUAUCGCGCUCUUGGAUGGGCUCAUGUCCUAUCAGCUUGUUGGGAGGUAACGGCUCACCAAGGCUUCGACGGGUAGCUGGUCUGAGAGGACGAUCAGCCACACUGGCACUGCGACGCGGGCCAGACUCCUACGGGAGGCAGCAGUAAGGAAUAUUGCGCAAUGGGCGAAAGCCUGACGCAGCGACGCCGCGUGGGGGAUGAAGGUCUUCGGAUCGUAACCCCUUUCGGGAGGGAAGAUGGAAUGGGGUAACCCGAUUCGACGGUACCUCCAGAAGCAGCCACGGCUAACUUCGUGCCAGCCGCCGCCGU